UACAGGACUAUAGGUGUGAUUAUGAUAGGCAACAUCAUCGUCUAGUUUUUAUUUAUUUAUAUCGUAUGAUCGAAAAAACGGCGUCAGCGAUAGCUAUGAAAUGAAGAUUGCUGGCAUUUUAUAUGUAAAAUUUAUGGGGAAUGUUAUCGAUUGUCAUUUCCAAGCCAACUGGACGCCGUUUUUUAUUUCGAUCAGUAGUGGCGAUUUUAACGUCUGUGCAAUCGGGAUUCAUGAAAGAAAAAGCGAACGCUGCUACGUUUCCCGUUCCCAAACUCCCAACAGCUCCAGUACACAGAAUAUACUCAAUAUACUAUGCUCCAGUCGACUGCGACCUGCGACGACUGUGACUGGAACAGUCUGACCGGGCGACGGGGCUAGGAGCAUUUUCAGAAUUUACACUAUUGCCUGCUAUUGCUCCUAUUGCUACUCACGAGCGCAGAUGUCCUAAACUUGUAAACUGCUCCGAAAUGUCACUGCGAUUUUCUUGGAACUGGAGCAGUCACAUACUGCGACGUUGGUGGAGCUGUGACAAAGUAGCGGACUGCGAUUUCACAACCCACCUCUACGC